UACGGAGGGUGCGAGCGUUGUCCGGAAUCAUUGGGCGUAAAGGGCGCGUAGGUGGCCCCUCAAGCGUGCGGUUAAAGUCAGGGGCUCAACCCCUGAUCGGCCGUGCGAACUGGGGAGCUUGAGCACUGUAGAGGCAGGCGGAAUUCCGGGUGUAGCGGUGGAAUGCGUAGAGAUCCGGAAGAACACCGGUGGCGAAGGCGGCCUGCUGGGCAGUUUUGCUGACACUGAGGCGCGACAGCGUGGGGAGCAAACAGG
rnacentral:rRNA from 1 species